AAAGAUAUAGCAUAUUCUUCUGAAUAUACUUUAUUAACCCAUUCUGAGUACCUUACCCGUUGCUUCCGCGAGGCUGUCCUCACGGCCCUCUGAAGAUUUAUCUUUGGGGAGUCCUUGCGGAAGGUAUACAAUAAACUCUUGCAUUACCAUGUCAUCUGUCUGAAUCUGUUUAAAACAAGUAUUA
rnacentral:misc_RNA from 1 species